UUAUUUUAGCGGCGGACGGGUGAGUAACGUNUGGGCAACCUACCUUUUACUGUGGAAUAAUCGUUGGAAACGACGACUAAUACCGCAUACGGUUCUUGGAAGGCAUCUUCUAAGGAAAGAAAGGAGUAAUUCGGUAAAAGAUGGGCCCGCAUCUGAUUAGCUAGUUGGUGAGAUAAUAGCCCACCAAGGCAACGAUCAGUAGCCGACCUGAGAGGGUGACCGGCCACAUUGGGACUGAGACACGGCCAAACUCCUACGGAAGGCAGCAG
rnacentral:rRNA from 1 species